rnacentral:rRNA from 1 species
CGAUACUUGGUGUGAAUUGCAGAAUUCAGUGAAUCAUCGAAUCUUUGAACGCACCUUGCGCUCCUUGGUAUUCCGAGGAGCAUGCCUGUUUGAGUGUCAUGAUAUUCUCAACUUGCAAGUUCUUAAUGCGGGACUUUGCAUGGUUGGACUUGGAGGCUUGCUGGUGUUCAUGUAAACUCAGCUCCUCUCAAAUGCAUUAGCUUGGUUUCUAGCGGAUCGGCUGUCGGCGUGAUAAUUGUCUACGCUGCGACCGUGAAGUGUUAUGGCAAGCUUAUAGCCGUCUCUAGCAGGGACAUCUAUGAUUGACCUCUGACCUCAAAUCAGGUAGGACUACCCGCUGAACUUAAGCAUAUCAAUAAGCGGAG